GGGGGGAGCGCAGGAUCCUGGGAUGUUUCCCCCGGUGCCCUGGGAUCCAGGGCCUGCAUUGCUGGAAUCCUGCUCCAGGGGCUGCGCAGCCCCCU
rnacentral:pre_miRNA from 1 species